CAGGAUGAACGCUGGCGGCGUGCUUAACACAUGCAAGUCGAACGGAGUCUGCAUGAAACCUAGUGAUUGUAGACUUAGUGGCGGACGGGUGAGUAACGCGUGGGUAACCUGCCUUGUACUGGGGGACAACAGUUGGAAACGACUGCUAAUACCGCAUAAGCGCACAGCUUCGCAUGAAGCAGUGUGAAAAACUGAGGUGGUACAAGAUGGACCCGCGUCUGAUUAGCUGGUUGGUGAGGUAACGGCUCACAAAGGCGACGAUCAGUAGCCGGCCUGAGAGGGUGAACGGCCACAUUGGGACUGAGACACGGCCCAAACUCCUACGGGAGGCAGCAGUGGGGAAUAUUGCACAAUGGGGGAAACCCUGAUGCAGCGACGCCGCGUGAGUGAAGAAGUAUUUCGGUAUGUAAAGCUCUAUCAGCAGGGAAGAAAGAAAUGACGGUACCUGACUAAGAAGCCCCGGCUAACUACGUGCCAGCAGCCGCGGUAAUACGUAGGGGGCAAGCGUUAUCCGGAUUUACUGGGUGUAAAGGGAGCGUAGACGGCAUGGCAAGUCUGAAGUGAAAUGCCAGGGCUUAACCCUGGAACUGCUUUGGAAACUGUCUAGCUAGAGUGCAGGAGAGGUAAGUGGAAUUCCUAGUGUAGCGGUGAAAUGCGUAGAUAUUAGGAGGAACACCAGUGGCGAAGGCGGCUUACUGGACUGUAACUGACGUUGAGGCUCGAAGGCGUGGGGAGCAAACAGGAUUAGAUACCCUGGUAGUCCACGCGGUAAACGAUGAAUACUAGGUGUAGGAGGGCAAAGCCCUUCGGUGCCGCAGCAAACGCAAUAAGUAUU
rnacentral:rRNA from 1 species